GAUGAACGCUAGCGGCAGGCUUAAUACAUGCAAGUCGAGGGGCAGCGGGGGUAGCAAUACCUGCCGGCGACCGGCAAACGGGUGCGGAACACGUACAGAACCUUCCUCCAAGUGGUGAAUAGCCUUCCGAAAGGAAGAUUAAUACACCGUAAUAUUACAGAGUGGCAUCACUUUAUAAUUAUAGAUUUAUCGCUUAGUAGAUGGCUGUGCGGCUGAUUAGGUAGUUGGCGGGGUAAUAGCCCACCAAGCCUGCGAUCAGUAACUGGUGUGAGAGCACGACCAGUCACACGGCACUGAGACACGGGCCCGACUCCUACGGGAGGCAGCAGUAAGGAAUAUUGGACAAAUGGCCGCAAGUCUG
rnacentral:rRNA from 1 species